GAUGAACGCUGGCGGCGUGCCUAAUACAUGCAAGUAGAACGCUGAAGGAGGAGCUUGCUCUUCUGGAUGAGUUGCGAACGGGUGAGUAACGCGUAGGUAACCUGCCUGGUAGCGGGGGAUAACUAUUGGAAACGAUAGCUAAUACCGCAUGACAACAGUUAUUGCAUGAUAACUGUUUAAAAGGGGCAACUGCUCCACUACCAGAUGGACCUGCGUUGUAUUAGCUAGUUGGUGAGGUAACGGCUCACCAAGGCGACGAUACAUAGCCGACCUGAGAGGGUGAUCGGCCACACUGGGACGGAGACACGGCCCAGACUCCUACGGGAGGCAGCAGUAGGGAAUCUGCGGCAAUGGACGGAAGUCUGACCGAGCAACGCCGCGUGAGUGAAGAAGGUUUUCGGAUCGUAAAGCUCUGUUGUAAGAGAAGAACGAGGGUGAGAGUGGAAAGUUCACACUGUGACGGUAUCUGACCAGAAAGGGACGGCUAACUACGUG
rnacentral:rRNA from 1 species